AGAACGAACGCUGGCGGCACGCCUAACACAUGCAAGUCGAGCGAGACCUUCGGGUUUAGCGGCGGACGGGUUAGUAACGCGUGGGAACGUACCUUUUGCUUCGGAAUAGCCUCGGGAAACUGGGAGUAAUACCGAAUGUGCCCUUUGGGGGAAAGAUUUAUCGGCAAAAGAUCGGCCCGCGUCUGAUUAGAUAGUUGGUGGGGUAAUGGCCUACCAAGUCUGCGAUCAGUAGCUGGUUUGAGAGGAUGAUCAGCAACACUGGGACUGAGACACGGCCCAGACUCCUACGGGAGGCAGCAGGUGGGGAAUCUUAGACAAUGGGCGCAAGCCUGAUCUAGCGAUGCCGCGUGAGUGACGAAGGCCUUAGGGUCGUAAAGCUCUUUCGCCAGGGAUGAUAAUGACAGUACCUGGUAAACGAACCCCGGCUAACUCCGUGCCAGCAGCCGAC
rnacentral:rRNA from 1 species